AGCACUAGGACGUCAAAGCGAUGGUACCACAGUCAAAUCCCACAAUGUCUACACUCUACCAAGCACUUGCUCACGCUCCCCCUUUUCCAUUCAGUAUUCCCAAGAGGGGUUCGGAAGAACCCCGCGUCCACUGUAAGCUCAGGGGAGAGCGGGAGCCAGGGAGGUGAAGUGCACAGACUGGACAGAGGCGGCGGGCAGAACCGCGGGGGUGAGAGGGCGCGUGGUUGCGGGGCGGGAGCCGCUGCUGAAAGGCGGCCUGGGUUGUCGUGUGGGGUGACUGUCGGUGGAAUCUUUGGCAGAGAGUGGUUUGGAAGAAUGGCGAGGGGGGCAGUGGGUAGGGUGGUGACCCUGAGCGUCCGGCCAGGGCGAGGACGCUGUGCUGUCCCUGUAGG
rnacentral:lncRNA from 1 species